AGGACGAGCUGGCUGGACAGCAGGCAGGCAGCAGGGACACUGCAGGGCCUGGCUGCUGAGAAGUCGCGGGCCUACACCAACACAGACGUUAAGGAGCCGUGGACGUUCAGACAGGCAAGAGGGACCUCUUCUGUUGGCGUCUUUAUUCAUUCUGCCACCAAUUUAUAAAGUGUCAACCACAUGCCCCGCCUGGGAUCACCGGGUGGCGCUGGGUUACAGCGGUAAUAAGAAAAAGGCCGUCCUGCCCCGACACCAGUGCGGGUCUGCGCAACAGACUACCAGCCCUACGGGCUGGGAACAAGAACAGAGCCCACCACCAUGGGAUUUACUCCGUGGUAUCUGGAGGUUCUAGCAAGUUCAACAAGACAACAACAAGGAAUGAGAUUAAAAA